CCCAAGUGUGUCAUAGAAAAGGAUUGUAAAAUGGUCAAGGCUUCCAGAUAUCCAGCAAACGAAAAAAAAAAUCAAAGCCUACAGGACAAUGCUGGCGCUGUUCACACGAAGAUUUAAGUCAAUACAGGACAAUGCUGGGGCGGUUCCCAUGGAAGACUUCGGUCAACACUGGCCAAUGUUGGCGCUGUUGGCAUCGGGCUUUAUGGCAGACUAAGUCCUGCCCUGGAGUACUCGGCGAUGGGGGAACCUCUGGCACCCAUAGUAUAAAGUUUGUCAUUCACAACUUGUAGUUUCUUUUUUUUUGAAUAUGCGACAGAAAAUCGCUCAUUUAAAGUAAGCAAUAACAUUUCCUUGUCCAAUUAAAUUAUUUCCCCGAUAAGUCAAAUAGAUUUCAAGCCUAAACGUGAGGCGGACUCAUGACUAAGACCGAUUUUGAUGUAACAAUUUUAGCAGAAAAUUAUUGAUACCUCUGCAGACCGCCAUAGUCAAGACCGGUCUCGCCGUCAAAAACGAUCCACAGUCUGCUCUUGAGGAUCUCUGGCUUAACGAUGCUAAGCUGAACAGCGCGAAACGAGUCCUCCAUCAAGUUCCGACGGCGAAUGUGAAUCUCAUACUUAUUCGGGACAUUACUCUGUAAUCACAAAUCAAAGGCUCUGUGAGCCAACUCGUGAAUUCAAAUGUAUUUUCUAGUUAUUUUCUUAUGUACAUAGGUAAACAAUAAAAAACGAUAAUUCAGGCCCACAUCUGCUGACGCUGAAUGAUGACGGCUCAAAUUAAAAGGUCAUUUCAUUGGCUGAGUGGCACUUUUGAGAUACAGAAAGCCAGGCAAACGGCAGAGCAGGCAGGGUGGCAGGCAGACAGGGCAACAGAAAGACAAGACGGGCAGACAGUCAAAAUAUCUUAUCACUUACUGGUCGUUUAAGCUUGGAUCUAAAAUAAUCACACUUGCGCUUAUAGUCCCGAGAGUAAGGCACCGCCUGGAAGAAAAGGUGAUGUGGUUAUAAUUUACACAGUAUAAUCUAGUGAACUUGUAGUUGACACACUAGAGAGUAAUCCAAGAUGAACUACAGUAUCUGUUAUAGCCUACAUGUAGGCGUUGGAGUUUUAUAUUCAGCGAAAAAAACCCUGGUUUUCCUUAUAAGGGCCAUCAAUUUCGACGCGUAGGAGUGCGCGUCCGUAUUUUCUAAAUGGCCGAAUCGUGGACUCCGUGUUUUCUCACCAAAUGAAAAACUUCAACGUCUACGUGAAGGCUAAAUCUAGUAUGUACCUGAGACGUAGUGCUCAGCUGCAACCGGGGAUCUUCCCAUUGUGUUGAGCGUGUCUCUGUAAAAAAAAUAUAUAACAUAAUAAUAAAUCUGAGCGGUUCGAUCGUA